rnacentral:piRNA from 1 species
UGAGUGGACAAGAGUUCCAUGACGGAAGAGC